UUCACCUAAAAUUUUUUUCUUAUUGACAUCCAUUUAGUUUUCUUGUUCCCAAUAAUUGUGUUUAGAUUACCUACAAAAACUUUAGACAUUAAACAUUAGACACAAUCAGCCAUCAAUUUCUUUUUGCCGACAAAUUUUAUAACUGAGAUAACAUGAAUUUGUUUGACCUUUUAGUAAACGUAGUUAGAACAAAAGUUUUAUAUUUAAUGCUGAUAACUCUAAAGACAUGCCUAUUUUAAUUAACCCAACAAAUUUUAAUUAGCUUUAAUACCAAAUAUUUUUUUAGAUCAUGUGAUCAUGAAAUUCACUUGGGUUAGUUUCUGUUAUAUUUUUGAGAGUAUACUCAAUUUAUACAGCACUUGUUUGUUUUUAAGCCAAUUAAAUAGAGCUCUCUUGUAAACUAGUCUUGACAAUAUCAUCUAGAGGUAUAAAAAUUUCACAUGUUCAUAGCAUACAUAUAUAGACACACAUAAACACACAGACAGAGGCAAACAGAGAUCUUCUAGCCUCUGUUUUAAAUUGUCCUCAGGUUUUUGGGCAGAGGUGCCUCCACAGCAGUCUGCAUCUCCUGAGCUUCCUUCCCCCUUUGUAUUCCCUUCAGUCUUAGGAAUUGGGGAUGGUCGAAAAUGGAGAGGUCCAAAGCUUUUUGAGAUGAACAGGGGAGGUUAGUUGCUUAUCAAAGACUGACAUUCCCAUCUCAUUACAUUAUCCUUUAUUUCUUUUCCUCUGAAUAUACAGUUUUAUUUUAGCUUGGGAGGGGAAGCCUAAAAAAAAUUCCUACCAGGCUCUGAAUAUCAGCUUCCAAUUUGGCCAAAUCUCUGAUCACAAGUUACUAAAUCCUUUCGAAUAUCUCACCUGGUUUAAGCCAGACAAACAGUAAAUAUUCCCGACAGUAUUAAACAACUCCAUUAAUUUUUGUUUCCGCUUGGUUAUUUAAGGAAUAACGUAGCAGUUUCCCAGAAAAUCUCAGAGUGUGGUUGACUCUGGGAGGAGCCCACACAGGGCCCUGUUUGAAGAACAAAAAUUUACAAGACGAGGGACCAUAGUUCUUAAAUAUAAACCCAGCUGGCUUUCCCAAGGGAGGAACUUCUCAGGAACUUUUAAGAAGAUGAAGUUCCCACGUUAACGCAUGGCAGGACAAAGAGACACCAGUUGCGAGCCCCAGUUGUUACCUGUGCUUCUGGCCCACCAGCUACAGCUAUUUGGACAAACAACACAAAAGACAGAAUUUGAGCACUCACCAGACCGGGAAUAAACCUUUACAGACAGCAAAGCCGUGAGCCGACUUGAAGACAACUGUCUCCUGGUUGAUCGACCCCAGGUUGGGCUGUUGCCCCAGAACCCCAAAGAAAGGCAAAGACCUUCACCAAAGGGAGGGAGGUCAGAACCUGAGAGGACUCAUGAUGGGAGGAGCCGGCGGUCCACAGAAGCGGUGAGCCCCCACAAGGGACGCCUGUUGUACAGAACCCGUUUCCAGGGGGCACCACUCCGGGAAGGUGAGAUCGCUCCAGGUCCUGCUUUCUGAUGCCAUAUGUCAACCUACAAAAACAGAAACCAGUUUAAGAGGAAAAGCAUUUUGGGGGGAUCAAAGAGUUUCAAUUCAGGGAGCACAGAUUCAAGAGGAAAUCCAAUAGUCUCCCGCUGGGAGUAAAAGUUAGGCUGGGCUUUUAAAGGCAAAGAAGGGAGGUUGUAUUACAAAGAAUUGGAAUUGGAGUCGGAGGCAGGGAGCUAGUUUUGGCUAAAUGUUGAUUGCCUGUUGGUUGUCUUCAGAAAGUCUGCAGUCUUCAGCCUUUGUGACCAGGAUAGGAUGUCCGUUCCCCUACCGACGUCUCAAACAAUUGCGGGUAAAACACUUGCUAUUUUGGCUCAGUCCAAAGGUUUGGCCCGUCCAGGGUUUGAGACAGAAAGGCAGUUUCUCUGGAAAGGCAGCUCUGACUCCAUUUUAAAUGGCUCCACUAUUGUCAAUUUGGACACUACCGGAAUGAAGAAACCAAAAAUAACAGUGUAGACAAGUGGAAAGUUAACUAUAGCACACCACUUGGGACUGAAAUGACUAAUUCCACAAAGUCGUAAUAUCUGAGCACUAUAUUUUUAGAAGGAAAAGUAAAUUAAAAAAAUAAAUAUUAAAAAAUAUUUUUAAAAGUGGCAGUAUGUAAAAAGAACUAAAUCUUCGCUAACCAACCUAUAACAUCUAAGAUUGAUAAACCAAGAAAUAGCAGUAUAAACACAUCUGGAAAUACGGGGUAACUGGAAAAACAAUCAGCUAAAAAUUUAAGGACGCCUGCCUCUGAGGAACGAGCCUGGAAGGAGGCAAAAUAUAUCUGGGACUACUCAUGUAACUAUCAGCUUUUUGGAACUUUUAUGUGCACGCUUAAUUUGUAAAAUGCUAAAUGUUUAAGAUUUAAAACUCGUUAAAAUCGAGGGGCAACUAGAGGGUCUCACCGUUCCGUUGCAGAGUAGACUCUCCAGGCAGACAGGACUGCAAGGCUGCUCUCCCGGGCGGUCAGCCAGCCCGCCAGCCUUGGAGGGGCCACCAAGGACUGGGAAGGUGAACCGGCGGAGCUGGCCCGAGCCCUGCCACGUGGAGCCCUACAGCUGCACGGUGGCCUGUCCGGAGCCAGGCCUCAGCCGCCUCCAGCCUGAGAGCUUUCUUUCCAGCAGUGAGGCAGUCAGCAUGGGCCCCCAGGCUCUGAUCAACCCCCAUGUUUGUUCCACAACCCCAAAUGGCUGAGGAGGCCAAAAGUCAAAGAAAAAGGAGGAGUGUGAUUAAUUGCUCACAAAGUGACGACUUAAUCAAAUGCAUUGUUUCCAGUGAGACAAAUAACCAAACUGGGCUGGGCUGUUCACUCGAAAAGCCUGAGUCUGACCCCUUAAGCUUCUCUGCCAGCUUUGCUCCCCACACUGCCAGGCCAAUCCAUGCCACAUUUGGUCUGGGUGGCGGCCCCACCUCUGUCCUGGGGCCCCGGGAAUGGCUUUUCCAAGGGAAGCCCACCAAUCUCUGCUUAGAUUGGAGCCUCCUUUCAUUUGCAUUCGAGCCAGGGGGCCUGGAACUGACCUGGCCCCAGAACCAUUUUUUCCACAGUUGCAAACACUGUUAAAGGGAGUAAGUCCCUCCUGUGGUCACCUCCAGUUCAUUCACCACCUCGCAUUGCCUUCUCUCGGCACCAGGCUGGGGAGGCGGCUCAGGAUCCAGCCUGGAACAGCCAUGGCCUUAAUCAGCCAGGCCCUGCAUCCACCCCGGGACAGACAGAGGACCUGGAAGCACGGGACAGGAGCUCUCACACAUUUGGCUGCAGUAAAAAUUGACAAAACCUCUUUAGAGGACAAUUUGGUGGCAUACUUCAUUUUAAAUGCCCAUCCCCAUUGCCCAGCAGCUUUUUCUGUUUCUCUGAAUGCAUCCUACAUAGGUGCGUAAAGACACCAUCAAAACAUCCCAGCAGAGGCUGGAAACAGCCCCAGGGCCCAUCAGUGAAUGAUGUCAUACCUACACCAGAAAUACUCUGUGCAUGCUCUACAGCCAUGACAAAGAACAGGCUGACAGACGGCGUCAAGGGACCAACUCCAGGAUAAGCUGUUUAAGUAAACAGGAUGAGGAAGUGUCUUUACAGGAUACCACCAUUUGUGUAAAAAGGUAGGAGACAUAAGCACAAAUGAGCUUGUGUAUGCAUAGAAUGUUCUGGAAUUUUACACAAGAAAUAAGCAAGAGAACUGGAGACUACAUUCAGGGGUAAGAAGAUGACUUACUCUUCAAUGCACAUUUGAUACACAACGGUUUGGGGUUUUUGCACGUGC
rnacentral:lncRNA from 1 species